GGCCCUGAUAUUCAGUAGUUAAAAGUACGCUAAUUUCAUAUUGGUUGACAAAAAGUCAUUGAGAAGCUUGUGUGGAACACAUGGAAUGAUACUUAACCAAGAGUAAAGAAAGAAGGUGGUAACUAGUACCAGCGCUUCUGUGUUUUGGAAAGCAAAGAACAGUUAUCUGAGGGUUGAGGUUUCUUAUUUUCCCUGAGAAGACAGAAGCAAAGAUAAGAAAAAGAAAAGCCCCGUGGGAGGGCUAGGGGAAAGGAUAGAAGGAAAUGGGAUUAAUAUGAGAAAAUGGAAAAAUAGGAACAAAAUCUUUGUAAAUAGGGAGGAAUGGAGGGGUUGAAGGGAGGGCUGGGCAAGGGUGAAAAAUAAGAACCAAGAGAGACUAUGUAAAGGUGCAAAUUUCCAAUGAUGAAUGUCAUUAUAUUGUAUACCUAAAAUGUACCAAUGAUUAGAAUGAAUAAUCGAUAAUGUAAAAUAGGAAGAAAAGGUCCAAAGGGGUAGGGGUGGUGGGAGGGGCAGGGGAAAGGAAAGAAGGGAAAGAAAAAAAUGAUGAGAAAUGGAAAAAAUGGAAAUAAAGUCUUUGUAAAUCGGGAAGGGUGGAGGGGGUGAAGGGAGGGCUAGGAAUGGGGAAAAAAUAAGAACCAAGAUGCAUGAUGUAAAGGUACAAUUCCCAAUGAGAAAUGUAAUUGUGUUGUAUACCUACAAUGUACCAAUAGAAGAAUUUAAUACAAAAAAAAAAAAAAGAAAAAGAAAAGCAAAGACAAAAGGCCAGUGGAAGUUGACUUUCUGCUGCUUAGACUCAGACAGAGGAAAGGUGAAGGGGACCAAGUCAAUAUUAGGAGACCUGAACCUGGUGCCCCAGGUGAGACCAAGCAAGGCAAAAAGACUUCAAACUGCAGUCAACAGCCAAGGCUUGGUUCAGUUGGAACGUAAGACAGCUAACUGCCACCAAACAUAGAAGAAAGAAGGGAAUCAUGGAGAUCCCUCUCAGUGCUGAUACUUUGUCUUGCAGAGAAAUAGCACAUCAUAUUAGGCAUUUU
ensembl:lncRNA